AUGAACGCUGGCGGCGUGGAUAAGGCAUGCAAGUCAAGGGGCCCGCAAGGGCACCGGCGAACGAGGUAGUAACACGUGGGUAUGAACCUUCAAGACGGACAUAGCUCGUCGAAAGAUGGGGUAAUUUCCGAUAGUCCCUUAGGGGUAAAGUCGCAAGACGCUUGAAGAUCAGCCUGCGCAGUAUCAGCUAGUUGGUAGGGUAAAGGCCUACCAAGGCUAUGACGCUUAGGGGACCUGAGAGGGUGACCCCCACCGAUGGUACUGAGACACGGACCAUACACCUACGGGUGGCUGCAGUCGAGAAUCUUCCACAAUGGGCGAAAGCCUGAUGGAGCGACGCCGCGUGACUGAUGAAGUCCUUAGGGACGUAAAGGUCUUUUAUAGGGGAGAAAGCCGGGAUUUAUUCCGGCGUGAUAGUACCCUAGGAAUAAGAGGUUGCUAAACUCGU
rnacentral:rRNA from 1 species